ACAUCGGUAGCACAGUGGUCAGUGCAGUCUGCCGGAAACAGGACGACGCGGGUUCAACUCCCGUCCGAUGUC
rnacentral:tRNA from 1 species